rnacentral:rRNA from 1 species
UACAGGCUUAACACAUGCAAGUCGAGGGGCAGCAUGGUCUUAGCUUGCUAAGGCCGAUGGCGACCGGCGCACGGGUGAGUAACACGUAUCCAACCUGCCGUCUACUCUUGGACAGCCUUCUGAAAGGAAGAUUAAUACAAGAUGGCAUCAUGAGUCCGCAUGUUCACAUGAUUAAAGGUAUUCCGGUAGACGAUGGGGAUGCGUUCCAUUAGAUAGUAGGCGGGGUAACGGCCCACCUAGUCUUCGAUGGAUAGGGGUUCUGAGAGGAAGGUCCCCCACAUUGGAACUGAGACACGGUCCAAACUCCUACGGGAGGCAGCAGUGAGGAAUAUUGGUCAAUGGGCGAGAGCCUGAACCAGCCAAGUAGCGUGAAGGAUGACUGCCCUAUGGGUUGUAAACUUCUUUUAUAAAGGAAUAAAGUCGGGUAUGGAUACCCGUUUGCAUGUACUUUAUGAAUAAGGAUCGGCUAACUCCGUGCCAGCAGCCGCGGUAAUACGGAGGAUCCGAGCGUUAUCCGGAUUUAUUGGGUUUAAAGGGAGCGUAGAUGGAUGUUUAAGUCAGUUGUGAAAGUUUGCGGCUCAACCGUAAAAUUGCAGUUGAUACUGGAUAUCUUGAGUGCAGUUGAGGCAGGCGGAAUUCGUGGUGUAGCGGUGAAAUGCUUAGAUAUCACGAAGAACUCCGAUUGCGAAGGCAGCCUGCUAAGCUGCAACUGACAUUGAGGCUCGAAAGUGUGGGUAUCAAACAGGAUUAGAUACCCUGGUAGUCCACACGGUAAACGAUGAAUACUCGCUGUUUGCGAUAUACAGCAAGCGGCCAAGCGAAAGCGUUAAGUAUUCCACCUGGGGAGUACGCCGGCAACGGUGAAACUCAAAGGAAUUGACGGGGGCCCGCACAAGCGGAGGAACAUGUGGUUUAAUUCGAUGAUACGCGAGGAACCUUACCCGGGCUUAAAUUGCAGAUGAAUUACGGUGAAAGCCGUAAGCCGCAAGGCAUCUGUGAAGGUGCUGCAUGGUUGUCGUCAGCUCGUGCCGUGAGGUGUCGGCUUAAGUGCCAUAACGAGCGCAACCCUUGUUGUCAGUUACUAACAGGUUCCGCUGAGGACUCUGACAAGACUGCCAUCGUAAGAUGUGAGGAAGGUGGGGAUGACGUCAAAUCAGCACGGCCCUUACGUCCGGGGCUACACACGUGUUACAAUGGGGGGUACAGAGGGCCGCUACCACGCGAGUGGAUGCCAAUCCCCAAAACCUCUCUCAGUUCGGACUGGAGUCUGCAACCCGACUCCACGAAGCUGGAUUCGCUAGUAAUCGCGCAUCAGCCACGGCGCGGUGAAUACGUUCCCGGGCCUUGUACACACCGCCCGUCAAGCCAUGGGAGCCGGGGGUACCUGAAGUGCGUAACCGCGAGGAGCGCCCUAGGGUAAAACUGGUGACUGGGGCUAA